AUUUAGCUGAUAAGUUUCAAAUAGGACGAAACACGCUUCCUACAU
rnacentral:hammerhead_ribozyme from 1 species